GACGAACCGUGCGAACGUUAUUCGGAAUCACUGGGCUUAAAGCGCGUGUAGGUGGGGCGGCACGUCGGCCGUUGAAAGCCCCCGGCUUAACCGGGGAAGCGGCGCCGAUACGACCGCCCUCGAGGGACGUAGGGGGGGCUGGAACUUCCGGUGGAGCGGUGAAAUGCGUUGAGAUCGGAAGGAACGCCCGUGGCGAAAGCGAGCCCCUGGACGUUUUCUGACACUGAGACGCGAAAGCGUGGGGAGCGAACGG
rnacentral:rRNA from 1 species